UCAAGUGAAGAAGCGCAUACGGUGGAUGCCUUGGCAGUCAGAGGCGAUGAAAGACGUGGUAGCCUGCGAAAAGCUUCGGGGAGUCGGCAAACAGACUUUGAUCCGGAGAUCUCUGAAUGGGGGAACCCACCUAGGAUAACCUAGGUAUCUUGUACUGAAUCCAUAGGUGCAAGAGGCGAACCAGGGGAACUGAAACAUCUAAGUACCCUGAGGAAAAGAAAUCAACCGAGAUUCCCUUAGUAGUGGCGAGCGAACGGGGAUUAGCCCUUAAGCUUCAUUGAUUUUAGCGGAACGCUCUGGAAAGUGCGGCCAUAGUGGGUGAUAGCCCCGUACGCGAAAGGAUCUUUGAAGUGAAAUCGAGUAGGACGGAGCACGAGAAACUUUGUCUGAACAUGGGGGGACCAUCCUCCAAGGCUAAAUACUACUGACUGACCGAUAGUGAACCAGUACCGUGAGGGAAAGGCGAAAAGAACCCCGGAGAGGGGAGUGAAAUAGAACCUGAAACCGUAUGCGUACAAGCAGUGGGAGCCUACUUGUUAGGUGACUGCGUACCUUUUGUAUAAUGGGUCAGCGACUUAUAUUCAGUGGCAAGCUUAACCGUAUAGGGUAGGCGUAGCGAAAGCGAGUCUUAAUAGGGCGUUUAGUCGCUGGGUAUAGACCCGAAACCGGGCGAUCUAUCCAUGAGCAGGUUGAAGGUUAGGUAACACUGACUGGAGGACCGAACCCACUCCCGUUGAAAAGGUAGGGGAUGACUUGUGGAUCGGAGUGAAAGGCUAAUCAAGCUCGGAGAUAGCUGGUUCUCCUCGAAAGCUAUUUAGGUAGCGCCUCAUGUAUCACUCUGGGGGGUAGAGCACUGUUUCGGCUAGGGGGUCAUCCCGACUUACCAAACCGAUGCAAACUCCGAAUACCCAGAAGUGCCGAGCAUGGGAGACACACGGCGGGUGCUAACGUCCGUCGUGAAAAGGGAAACAACCCAGACCGCCAGCUAAGGUCCCAAAGUUGUGGUUAAGUGGUAAACGAUGUGGGAAGGCUUAGACAGCUAGGAGGUUGGCUUAGAAGCAGCCAUCCUUUAAAGAAAGCGUAAUAGCUCACUAGUCGAGUCGGCCUGCGCGGAAGAUGUAACGGGGCUCAAACCACACACCGAAGCUGCGGGUGUCACGCAAGUGACGCGGUAGAGGAGCGUUCUGUAAGCCUGUGAAGGUGAGUUGAGAAGCUUGCUGGAGGUAUCAGAAGUGCGAAUGCUGACAUGAGUAACGACAAUGGGUGUGAAAAACACCCACGCCGAAAGACCAAGGGUUCCUGCGCAACGUUAAUCGACGCAGGGUUAGUCGGUUCCUAAGGCGAGGCUGAAAAGCGUAGUCGAUGGGAAACAGGUUAAUAUUCCUGUACUUCUGGUUACUGCGAUGGAGGGACGGAGAAGGCUAGGCCAGCUUGGCGUUGGUUGUCCAAGUUUAAGGUGGUAGGCUGAAAUCUUAGGUAAAUCCGGGGUUUCAAGGCCGAGAGCUGAUGACGAGUCGUCUUUUAGAUGACGAAGUGGUUGAUGCCAUGCUUCCAAGAAAAGCUUCUAAGCUUCAGGUAACCAGGAACCGUACCCCAAACCGACACAGGUGGUCGGGUAGAGAAUACCAAGGCGCUUGAGAGAACUCGGGUGAAGGAACUAGGCAAAAUGGCACCGUAACUUCGGGAGAAGGUGCGCCGGCUAGGGUGAAGGAUUUACUCCGUAAGCUCUGGCUGGUCGAAGAUACCAGGCCGCUGCGACUGUUUAUUAAAAACACAGCACUCUGCAAACACGAAAGUGGACGUAUAGGGUGUGACGCCUGCCCGGUGCCGGAAGGUUAAUUGAUGGGGUUAGCGCAAGCGAAGCUCUUGAUCGAAGCCCCGGUAAACGGCGGCCGUAACUAUAACGGUCCUAAGGUAGCGAAAUUCCUUGUCGGGUAAGUUCCGACCUGCACGAAUGGCGUAACGAUGGCGGCGCUGUCUCCACCCGAGACUCAGUGAAAUUGAAAUCGCUGUGAAGAUGCAGUGUAUCCGCGGCUAGACGGAAAGACCCCGUGAACCUUUACUGUAGCUUUGCACUGGACUUUGAGCCUGCUUGUGUAGGAUAGGUGGGAGGCUUUGAAGCGUGGACGCCAGUUCGCGUGGAGCCAUCCUUGAAAUACCACCCUGGCAUGCUUGAGGUUCUAACUCUGGUCCGUGAUCCGGAUCGAGGACAGUGUAUGGUGGGCAGUUUGACUGGGGCGGUCUCCUCCUAAAGAGUAACGGAGGAGUACGAAGG
rnacentral:rRNA from 1 species